rnacentral:rRNA from 1 species
GACGAACGCUGGCGGCGUGCCUAAUACAUGCAAGUCGAACGCAGUGGGGACGGGUGAGUAACCCGUGGGUAACCUCCCAUCAGAGGGGAUAACACUUGGAAACAGGUGCUAAACCGAUACUGAUGGAUGGACCCGCGGUGCAUUAGCUAGUUGGUGAGGUAACGGCUCACCAAGGCCACGAUGCAUAGCCGACCUUAGAGGGUGAUCAGCCACACUGGGACUGAGACACGGCCCAGACUCCUACGGGAGGCAGCAGUGGGGAAUCUUCGGCAAUGGACGAAAGCCUGACCGAGCAACGCCGCGUGAGUGAAGAAGGUUUUCGGAUCGUAAAGCUCUGUUGUUAGAGAAGCGGUAUCUAAACAGAAAGCACCGGCUAACUACGUGCCAGCCGCCGCGGUAAUUC